AGAGUUUGAUUCUGGCUCAGGAUGAACGCUAGCGGCAGGCUUAACACAUGCAAGUCGAGGGGCAGCGGGUUUGUAGCAAUACAGAUGCCGGCGACCGGCGCAAGGGUGCGUAACGCGUGAGCAACAUGCCCGUCUCAGGAGAAUAACCCGGAGAAAUCCGGCCUAAUGCUCCAUGGCUCUGUUGGGAGGCAUCUUCCGGCAGAUAAAGAUACGUCGGAGACGGAUUGGCUCGCGUGACAUUAGCUUGACGGCGGGGUAACGGCCCACCGUGGCAACGAUGUCUAGGGGAACUGAGAGGUUGGUCCCCCACACUGGAACUGAGACACGGUCCAG
rnacentral:rRNA from 1 species